rnacentral:rRNA from 1 species
CCUACGGGAGGCAGCAGUGGGGAAUAUUGGACAAUGGGCGAAAGCCUGAUCCAGCCAUGCCGCGUGUGUGAAGAAGGCCUUCGGGUUGUAAAGCACUUUCAGUGGGGAAGAAAGCCUUGGGGCUAAUACCCUCGAGGAAGGACAUCACCCACAGAAGAAGCACCGGCUAACUCCGUGCCAGCAGCCGCGGUAAUACGGAGGGUGCGAGCGUUAAUCGGAAUUACUGGGCGUAAAGCGCGCGUAGGCGGUCUGAUAAGCCGGUUGUGAAAGCCCCGGGCUCAACCUGGGAACGGCAUCCGGAACUGUCAGGCUAGAGUGCAGGAGAGGAAGGUAGAAUUCCCGGUGUAGCGGUGAAAUGCGUAGUGAUCGGGAGGAAUACCAGUGGCGAAGGCGGCCUUCUGGACUGACACUGACGCUGAGGUGCGAAAGCGUGGGUAGCAAACAGGAUUAGAUACCCCGGUAGUC